GGAUGAGACUUAGAUUUUCUUAGACCUUCCUCAAAUAACCAGCCACGAGCGACAAGGAUGUCGCGAGAGGCACUGAUGAGGCACGGAUGCCGAAUCUGUGCCGGUGGCGUAAGUGACUGAUAAUCACCGGAAGGUCUUAGAAAAUCAAGUCGAAGCAG
rnacentral:ncRNA from 1 species